CCAGUAUCCAAGACCCUGACCCCAUGGAAGGGACCUCAGCAGCUGCAAAUUCCUCAAGCCUCCCUCCUCCAUCCCGAAGGCUAUCACAGAUAAGGCGUCGUAAAAAGAAGAUGUGAGACGAGAUGUUUGCAGAAAUUAUGGAAUCCAGCUGCAGUGACAGAGCUCAUCUGAAUGAGUGGAAGGAAACGGUUUCAAAGUAUAGGAAAGAAGCCAGUGAACGUGAGGACAGGAGGGACCAAUGUGAGGACAUGAGGGACCAACGUGAGGACAGGAGGGACCAACGUGAGGAGAGGAGAGACGCUCGAGAUGAGAGGUGGCGGCAGGAAGAUCAGAGGAGGCAGGAUGCAACGCUGGGGCUGCUGCGUGAGCAAACAGACAUGCUCCGGCGUCUGGUGGAGCUUCAGGAACGGCUGCAGGAAAACAGACUGCCGCUACAGCCCCUGUACCCCCCUCCCCCCUCCCCAUGUUCCAUGUCCUCCUCACCCAGACGUGUAAGAACGCGGGGGGGGGGGAGGCUCCGUACACCUUCCCAUUCCACCCCAGUGGACAGCCCAAGCAAAAGGCUGUCAUUUUUUAAACCUUUUUUUAGUGGCCUUUUCCUUCCCACCGAUCCUCCUCCCAAAUCCCACCCGGGUUCCCUCCCUCUUUUUCUAAUCUAUUAAUAAAGAAUAAAUGAUUUUUAAAUGA